UGACGGUACCCUUUCGAAUAAGAGGUUGCUAACUCUGUGCCAGCAGCAGCGGUAAUACAGAGACCUCGAGCGUUAUCCGGAUUUACUGGGCGUAAAGCGUCUGUAGGGGGUUUGUUAAGUUCCAAGUAAAAUCUUAAGGCUCAACUUUAAGUUCGCUUGGAAAACUAAUAAACUGGAGUCCAGCAGAGGUGCAUGGAACUUGCAGUGUAGGAGUGAAAUCCGUUGAUAUCGCAAGGAACACCAAAGGCGAAGGCAUUGCACUGGGCUGGUACUGACCCUGAGAGACGAAAGCGUGGGGAGCAAAACGGAUUAGAUACCCGUGUAGUCCACGCCGUAAACGAUGAAUACUAGAUGUUCGGGGAUUCGACCCCCUGGGUGUCACAGCUAACGCGUUAAGUAUCCCGCCUGGGAAGUACGGCCGCAAGGCUAAAACUCAAAGGAAUAGACGGGGAUCCGCACAAGCGGUGGAGCGUCUGGUUUAAUUUGAUAGUAAGCAAUGGACCUCACCAAGGUUUGACAUCCUAUGACAACCCUGGAAACAGGGCUUCCUUCGGGCAUAGUGACAGGUGCUGCAUGGUCGUCGUCAGUUCGUGCCGUGAGGUGUUCCGUUAAGUCGGGAAACGAACGAAACCCUCGUCGCAUGUUACAAAUUUCAUGCGAGACUGCCCGGGUCAACCGGGAGGAAGGCGGGGAUGACGUCAGAUCAGCAUGGCCCUUAUACCUUGGGCUACACAGGCGCUACAAUGGCCGGUACAAAGGGUUGCAAAACCGCGAGGUGAAGCUAAUCCCAUAAAGCCGGUCCAAGUUCGGAUUGGAGGCUGCAACUCGCCUCCAUGAAGUUGGAAUCGCUAGUAAUCGUGGAUCAGCCAUACCACGGUGAAUACGUUCCCGGAUCUUGUACUCACCGCCCGUCACACCAAGAGAGUUGGUAGCUCCUGAAGCGUCGCAUUAG
rnacentral:rRNA from 1 species